UACGAAGGGUGCAAGCGUUACUCGGAAUUACUGGGCGUAAAGCGUGCGUAGGUGGUUCGUUAAGUCUGAUGUGAAAGCCCUGGGCUCAACCUGGGAAUGGCAUUGGAUACUGGCGACCUAGAGUGCGGUAGAGGGGUGUGGAAUUCCCGGUGUAGCAGUGAAAUGCGUAGAUAUCGGGGAGGAACAUCUGUGGCGAAGGCGACACCCUGGACCAGCACUGACACUGAGGCACGAAAGCGUGGGGGAGCAAACAGG
rnacentral:rRNA from 1 species